GGGGAUGUAGUUCAGUGGUAGAGCACUGGUCUAGCACGUGUGAGGUCCUGGGUUCAAUUCCCAGUACCA
rnacentral:tRNA from 1 species